UGGGGAAUAUUGGACAAUGGGCGCAAGCCUGAUCCAGCCAUGCCGCGUGAGUGAUGAAGGCCCUAGGGUUGUAAAGCUCUUUCACCGGUGAAGAUAAUGACGGUAACCGGAGAAGAAGCCCCGGCUAACUUCGUGCCAGCAGCCGCGGUAAUACGAAGGGGGCUAGCGUUGUUCGGAUUUACUGGGCGUAAAGCGCACGUAGGCGGACUAUUAAGUCAGGGGUGAAAUCCCGGGGCUCAACCCCGGAACUGCCUUUGAUACUGGUAGUCUUGAGUUCGAGAGAGGUGAGUGGAAUUCCGGGUGUGGAGGUAAAUUUCGUAGAUAUUCGGAGGAACCCCAGUGGCGAAGGCGGCUCACUGGCUCGAUACUGACGCUGAGGUGCGAAGCGUGGGGAGCAAACAGG
rnacentral:rRNA from 1 species